rnacentral:rRNA from 1 species
UACGUAGGGUGCAAGCGUUGUCCGGAAUUAUUGGGCGUAAAGAGUUCGUAGGCGGUUUGUCGCGUCCGUUGUGAAAGCUUGGGGCUCAACCCCAAGCCUGCAGUGGAUACGGGCAGACUAGAGUCAGGUAGGGGAGAACGGAAUUCCUGGUGUAGCGGUUAAAUGCGCAGAUAUCAGGAGGAACACCGGUGGCGAAGGCGGGUCUCUGGGCCGAUACUGACGCUGAGGAGCGAAAGCGUGGGGAGCGAACAGG